GAUGAACGCUAGCGGCAGGCUUAACACAUGCAAGUCGAGGGGCAGCAUAAAUAGUAGCAAUACUAUUGGUGGCGACCGGCGGACGGGUGCGUAACGCGUAUACAACCUUCCCUAACAGGGGGAUAAUCUGGAGAAAUUCGGUCUAAUACCCCAUAACAUCAGAGCAGGCAUCUGUUUUGGUUAAAAUUUCCGGAGGUUUAGGAUGGGUAUGCGUAGCAUUAGCUAGUUGGUGAGGUAACGGCUCACCAAGGCGACGAUGCUUAGGGGGACUGAGAGGUUAACCCCCCACACUGGUACUGAGACACGGACCAGACUCCUACGGGAGGCAGCAGUGAGGAAUAUUGGUCAAUGGGCGGAAGCCUGAACCAGCCAUGCCGCGUGCAGGAUGACGGCUCUAUGAGUUGUAAACUGCUUUUGUACGAGGGUAAAGUGGGCUACGUGUAGCCUUUUGAAAGUAUCGUACGAAUAAGGAUCGGCUAACUCCGUGCCAGCCGCCGCCGUAA
rnacentral:rRNA from 1 species